AUGCACGCUGGCGGCGUGCCUAAUCCCUGCCAGUCGAGCGAACGGACGAGAAGCUUGCUUUUCUGAUGUUAGCGGCGGACGGGUGAGUAACACGUGGAUAACCUACCUAUAAGACUGGGAUAACUUCGGGAAACCGGAGCUAAUACCGGAUAAUAUUUUGAACCGCAUGGUUCAAAAGUGAAAGACGGUCUUGCUGUCACUUAUAGAUGGAUCCGCGCUGCAUUAGCUAGUUGGUAAGGUAACGGCUUACCAAGGCAACGAUGCAUAGCCGACCUGAGAGGGUGAUCGGCCACACUGGAACUGAGACACGGUCCAGACUCCUACGGGAGGCAGCAGUAGGGAAUCUUCCGCAAUGGGCGAAAGCCUGACGGAGCAACGCCGCGUGAGUGAUGAAGGUCUUCGGAUCGUAAAACUCUGUUAUUAGGGAAGAACAUAUGUGUAAGUAACUGUGCACAUCUUGACGGUACCUAAUCAGAAAGCCACGGCUAACUACGUG
rnacentral:rRNA from 1 species